rnacentral:lncRNA from 1 species
AGCCAGGCAAGCCUUGAAACUCCCUUGGUCUCCCCUUCACUUGCUUGUUUUACCAAGGUUUCCUUUGCAGCCAGGACAGCGUCAGCGUCCAGCCGGUCCUUCCCGUGCUGUCCUGGGGCCGACCAGGACAACUGUCAGUGGGAGUCACCGUGCAAAGACAGAUCACAGAAGAAGGGUUACUUGAGGAGGUACCUGAUGAUGCACAGCAGCUCCCCCAGCCUGCAGAAAUCUCAGAUUUGCCACCUAUGUCCACAUUCAGAGUGAAUCAAAUCUUUGGGAAAGAGUUGCACGCAUUCCUGAAAACUGGUGUGUACAGGUGUGGCAGAUCAGAUAGAUCCUGAAAGUGCCUAUUGUUUAUGUGCCUAUUGUAUAAACACGCUUAUAUUGUGCAUUUAUUCCAAAUGGAGCACAAUAGCUGGAUGGAGACAGCAGAGAUUGCAGAUAAUAUGCUCACAAACCAUCAGCAGGACAAUGGAGUAGAGCCCUUUGAAGUUCCCCACGGAGAGUCCGGCGUCCCUGGGUUAACCAAGGUAUGUACAUAGGGA